GGCCACCCUUUCGCCUCUGCCUCGCUCGCCUUCAUGUAUUUGAAUAAAGAGGAACGAAAGAGGCUAACUGGCUGGUGAAUGCAUAAGCAGAUUAUCAGGACCCUUUCAAAACUCACACAACAAAUACAGCCACCGCAUCUAAUGCAUCAUUUACCAGAGCAGAUCUCCGCGUUUGAUCGGCAGAUAGGCAAAAGCUAUGUAUUCCUUGCUUUACUUAGCAUGCAUGCAUGCUUGUGUGUGUGCCCUGCAUGCGUGUGCACAACCAGCGGUUGUAUAGAAACACACACAAAGUGUGUGCGUGUAUGUAAGUGUAAGGGAUGGGCUGUCCGUGAUGCUGGUAUCUUUAACAGCUCGUAUUUUGUUAGCACUCCCCCUUUUACUCACUGCUCUAUCCGUGGUGAAAUAAAGUGCGCUCCGAGCUUUCUUGACACUAGUGAGAAAAAAUGGCACAAGAGUGUUUGGGGGCGAGGGGAGACACAGCGUUGUAACGACUCCUCUAGAGCUGCUUGGAGCAUUUAGGAGCUGAAAGAACUAUGCACCUCCUGGCGCACCCGGACACACCCCCCCCAGCCAAAGGCUGAGCCCAGGGGGAGAGAUCGCGCCACUGCUAGCUAGUCACAGGUGGGGAGAGGGGGGUGUUUCGGUGGGAAACCCAAGUGUGACCUGGUCCCCCUUUCAGUGACCGGCCGCACUCAGCCUCUAGGGGCUACCUCCAGUGCGGACAUGCUGGGGGAGGGAGUUGAAAUCAUCAGCUUUGGUCGCGUUCCUUCCCCCUGCUCCCAGAGAGCCGCGCUCUGGCUCGGGGAGGGGUCAAUGCGCUGCCCCAGGCGCGCACCAAACUGCCCCUGCUAGGAGCUGAGCUCCCCCUGCGCUUUCCCGGCUUCUCCUGCCUUCCGAGGCGCGGCCAGCGAGCUGCUGGAUUAAUCCCUGGCAGUGCCCAGCACACCGGCUCCGGGUUAGGGCGCCAAGCGGCGGUGGAGCAGGUUGCGGCCGCCCGGCCAUUUAGCUGCGAGUGCCGGGUAAAUAAUUCCCAGCCGGCCCGCAGUGGCUCCCGGGGGAAGGGGGCGCUGUCCUGCCCAGUCCGGUCUCUAGGCGAUUAGCUCCGGAUUAGCCGCUUACAGACGGAUUCGGAUUCGGAGCGGCCCCGCGCUGGGUUUUGCCGGGGGGCGCGGGCUGCUGGGGCAGAAGCACCUGCCUGACCCCGGGGUACGAACCAUGGGAAGCCCUGCCUGACUCCCUCCUCUCCCCGGGGGGCUGGCGCGGCCCGGGAGAGGCGACUCGGGACACGUGUGAACGGUGGGGAGAUAGGGCCGGGCUGCGGGGUAUGUUUUCCCCUUGGCGUCGCAAUCGGCGCUGGAGGCCAGGCGGGCGCCGGGGCUCAUUGGGGGCCUGGUUCCAAUGUGCCGGCCUUCCCCGCCGGGGAGGGGGGGGUGUCACACAUGGCCUUCAGAUAGCUGGCUCCCGAGGGGCGCCUGGAGCAGGGGUCUUACUACAGUCCAGGAGAUGGGUCUUACCCCGGGUACAGAACCUUUGUAACUUCUCUUUCCUCUAGCCCCAGACAUGGGCACGCUCAGCUGGAGCUUUUGCAAACAUUUGCCUAAGGAAAAUGUGUGCCCUGAGACUUGAUUCCCUAGCCAGGUGCCCAUGGAAGGGCCCCCCAGCCCCCUGGUCUUAAAGCCGGUGCAGAGCAGGAAGAGUUUGCUUGUCUGGAAGGAAACCAUCCCUCCCCCAGGAGAGAAACAUUCUCCCUCCCUUGCUGCUCUCUCAGCCAUCAAUACUUCCUAUCUUGUUUGCUGAUUAUUACUUUGAUUUGCUGCCUGUAGAACUGUAACAUUUCUGCAGUUCUGGCUGCUAAGUAUUUCUAAAGCUGAAGUCUUAACUCAGCACAGAGACAUGGCUAAGGUACAGUAAGAUUCGCCUGGGCAGCUCUGUGCUGAAGUGAGUUAGGACAGACACACAUCAGCUCCUACUCCCACUUGGGUUCCAUGCCAAUUAAAGAAAAAGGGGAGAGGUGUGCAAUAUUUUCAUGUUGAAUAGGUGGACUCCAUUCCUGUAUUCCUUUGCUUUUGCUCAAAGGAGGAAGGAAAACUUGAGUGCAAACUUGGCGGGAAAUAGCAAUGGCUCAGAAAAACCAGCCCAACCGCUUCUGCCCCUAUUAAAGAGUUUUUGCAAACAUCCAACUUGUACUAAUUUUUUUACAGCUACAUUCACUGUUGUUCCCUACAAAAAAUGGACCGGUGUUAGUUUAUUAAUAACCUAAACAUUACGUAUUAAAGACCUAUGAGUGACACAGGAUGACAAAAAGCUGUAUUUUUCCAAUAUACACAAGCACACAUUUAAUAACCUUCUAUUGCAUCUCAGCUAGGCCUUCUCUCUGAUGGUUCCCAUGGCAACCGAGAUAAAAAAGCAGCCAUUUUCCAUAUCUCUAUGAAAGUCUAUUAUAUUGCAGGAUUAGUUCAUCUUCUGCUAAGGUCAAACACAAAGUCAUACAACCUGAAAUAUUUAGAAUCCAUGUACAUUCAUUUUUUAUAUGCCCUUUCAUUUUCCACAAAAGAGUGGGCUCCUCUGAGAUUUUAUUCCCCAGAAAAUGCAAAGCAAAGCAAUAAAAAACAUGAUUAGCCGCUGAUGAAAAGUUCUUUUUUCUUUCUUUUUUUAAAACUAUUGUUACAUAGAUAGUGUAUUACCCAUUUAUCUCUAUCAACAGCAAUGAUUUCUAGUGAUAUUGAACAUCUAAUUGGGCUGUGUGAUUUGCAGGCGGAGGGCACCACCUUCUGGCCAGCAUUGGAGAAGCAAUUGACUUUCCUAAGCAAAAGCUCUUGGUGCAAAAGAACUCAAGUUAAGCAUGAGAAGGAGAGCCCAUUUCUUAGCCAGCCAGGCUAGAAAGCUGCUCUUUUCUGCUACAGCAUCAUUUGCCAAUGUUCCUGCUUUUUCAAAAAGCCAAAAGACCAGCUCAUGGAUUGUAAAGACUACAGGUUUCUUAAACCAAUGCCUGGUAUCAACAUCACCAUUUUCCAAGCUGACAGAUUUGGAUCUCUUCAACUAAACUGUCCCAGCAUGGCAUAAAGAAGUAAAACAAAGUCACCUGUUAUAAAGCAGAAGCAGGAGAGGGAGAGAGACCUAACUCAACUGGGGUUUGGUGACACCUGGAAAGGCCAUAAAACAAAACCUGGGCAGGCUUUCGACAGUUUGAAUGGUGGCAAAUAUGUUAUCUCUGUAAUAUGAAGAACUACAGCUCUUCCCUCCUCCAAGGGCAAGAAUGGAGCUUCACCAGCCAUGUUAGCAGCAGCACUGCAUGUAAACAUGCCUUUGCAGGCUGCACGAUGUUACACAAUACCAGCAAUGCUGCUUUGGGACUCCAGGCCAUCAUUUUCAUGGAAUAUUUCUGAGUUGGAAAUACCCUUCCUGACAGUAAGGUGAAGACUGUGUUGAACAGACUCUAAGGUGCCACGGGACUACUGGUUGUUUUUCAAUAGGCUCAGUGUCACAGCUGUGAAAUACAGUCUCCUGGCAACACCAUCAGGUUGUAUACGCAAAAUGAAUCCUUCAUUAACUAAUGUAGACAGCAAAAUCUCCCUUUUCUGCUGGCGAAACCCAGCACCUCUAUAUCCUGGCUUGUAUGUCAUCAAAGGGCUGUUUUCAGACUACCACCUCCAAGCUGUAAAAUGGAUUUUGCAUGUGUGAGGGAAAACUCCAGACCAAUGUCUUCUUUACUGUUGUUGCUUUAUUUUAUUUUAAAAUUGUCACCAUGUUUGUCAAUGCAUACUAAGGGUCCAGUCCUGAGAAGUUCAAUGCCUGCGCUAAACGUCACAAACAUUCACUUCAAGAAGACUGUCUGCUAUUUGCAGGAGGCACUGUAUCUUCCUAUCUGUGCCAGGAGCACACUUUGGAUAACAGUAAAAGAUGAUAACAGUAAAUUCCUGUUUUAUUAUAGACCUAAGAGUAUAUUGGACAUUGAUUCUGCUGUUGGUGUGGUAGGAAUUACCAGUUGUAGUAAGGAUGAUCUUGUGGCUAAAGGAACUUGCUUCCUAAACCUAACUCUCUCUGGCACUAGGCAAGUUACUUAUGACAAUGUUUUAAAGCACAGCUGCCAAAAUUUAGUGAUCCAUAUGGAGGCACCAAGGGAAGUGGUCUUGUUUUUCAGAGGUCCUGUACAUACACAGAUCCAUCCACCAAGACAGUCAAUUCAGGAGCCUCAAUGUUGGAAACGGGGUUUCCCAAAAUAAGGGGGAUGCCAUGUGAAAAUUAAAUGUUGGCCACCUUUGCAAAAGUAGCUUCUGAUCUGGGUGUCCCACUUUCUAACAUCAGUAUGUGAUACUGACCUGUCCAGCUCUAGGCACCGAAAAGCAGAGAAACCUCAAAUUGUGACACUUGGUUGGUUAGUGAUUGAUAUAUAGAGACUGAGAUUCAAGUUAGAGAGAUGCAGCAAAAAGAUUAGACUAAGAUUCACAGCAGGAGGGGAGGAUACUAAUGCAUUUGAUUUGGUACAGGAUAAACCAUUCCUUGGAAAACUGUCUAGAAAAAGCUCUGCUCAUAUAUCUGCGUGUGAUUAGCCAAGAGGAAUCAGUUUACCGUGAAUACUACAAAACAAAGAAUUCUGGGAGCAAUGAGUCCAGACAGAACUACAGAGCGGGGCAGGCUGGGAAUCUGACCUUAAUCAUAGAAUCAUAGAACCAUAGAGCUGGAAGAGACCUCAGACGGUCAUCAAGUCCAGCCCCCUGCUCUAGGCAGGACCAAUCCCAACUAAAUCAACCCGGCC